rnacentral:rRNA from 1 species
UUUUGCCUACGGGAGGCAGCAGUGAGGAAUAUUGGUCAAUGGGAGGAAUCCUGAACCAGCCAUGCCGCGUGCAGGACGACGGCUCUACGAGUUGUAAACUGCUUUUGUACCGGGGUAAAAUGCCUUACGAGUAGGGUUUUGAAAGUACGGUACGAAUAAGGAUCGGCUAACUCCGUGCCAGCAGCCGCGGUAAUACGGAGGAUCAGAGCGUUAUCCGGAUUCAUUGGGUUUAAAGGGUGCGUGGGUUGUUUUAUACGUUAGCAGUGAUAUACCGAUGCUC